ensembl:lncRNA
AUUUAGACCAGCAAUACAUGAGGGUUUUAGUUAUUCUGCAUAUUGGACAACACUUGAUACUAUUAGUCUUUUAAAUUUUAGCCAUCAUAUGGGUGCAUAGUAGUAUUUAUGUUUUUAAUUUGCAUUUCCCUGAUAACUAAUGAUGUUUAGCAUCUUUUUAUGUGUUUGUUGACCUUUCAGGUAUCUUUUGUGGAGUGUCUGUUCAAAUGUUGCCCAUUCUUAGUUACUUAGGUUGUUUCUUUUAUUUUUGAGUUGUACUUCUUUAUAGAAUCUGGAUACAAGUCUUUUGUCAGAAUAAAUUUUUACUAAUAUAUAUGUAUUCCCAUUGGUUCAAGCCACAGUUCUCCCUGCUAUUCCUUAAACAGGAUCAGAGCCUUUGAAGUCUCUUUGUUGCCUUGAAUGCUGCUCUCCCAGAUACACACACAGCUUGCUUCCAGACCGCCUCCAGUCACUAUUCAAAUGGUCCUUUUUGGUGAGAUAUUUCUUAACCGUCCUAUUUAAAAUAGUAAUACUCACGACCUGGCAUUCCCCCUUUUCUCCAUUUUUUUUCUCCAUGGCACAUAUUCACUGACAGCUGUGUUUGUUGUUUACCUGUCCUGUGUAAAGUAUUGACCAGAAUGAACCCCAACCAUAAAGAACAUGGAAAAUAACUCUACAACCUGUUUAGGGGAUUCCCUCCUCUCUUAGAGGCUGGUACAUUCAGGGAUGACAAACCAAAUUCCUGUGCCUGGUAGAUGAAGGAAAGGUUGGUUUCAUUAAUGUAGUCACCAAUCUCUUCAUAAGUAUCCAAGGCAAAUAGCCUAGCUCCAUCCGCUCUAACAGAUCCUCCCUAAAUGACCGCACCGAGAGCAAAAAGGCAACCGAGUCCCGCGUGCCAAGAAAAAAACUUGAAUCUCGACCAUCGGAGACAUGUAGAGAGCUCUUCUCGGCCAAUGCUUUGCACAGGAAGAAGGUGAAGACGACUCGUUCAAGGCCCAAUACAAGUUAGGGACAAAGUUGAGGCUCGCACCCAGACCUCGGCCCCGGCCCACGCAUCCUUUCCAGCCCUCUCUCACGGGAAGUGACGGACGGAGCUCUCCUUCGCGUCCGCUAAGGGGACUCACGCGGGGAAGAAGGACCCGCGGAAGAGUGGGCGGGACGGCCCACCGGAAACUCCCUCCCUCCGGGAUCCGGAAAGACAGAUGCUGCGGCCAAGCUUCCGGAAGUGGUGGGCUUUGUUUCCGCGGGGAAGACACUCCAACACGGACGGGGCAGGCGGCGAAUAUUGACAGGUCAGCCAGUAAAGGAACGUGCAUUGUCAGGCAAGUUAAGGAAGUUUUUAUGGUAAGAGAGAAAAGUAUAUAUCAGACUGAGCAAAGACCACUACAGUCUGGACUACACCCCUAAAGGAGACUUGCAGCCCCGAAAGAGGGGGUGAGGAGUGUUUUAUAGGGGCUCUGAUGAAAGGGUGGCAUUGCUUGAACAGAAAAUGUUGACUGCCUGUAAGCCAGUAGCUAUACUGUUUUGUUUUCUUGUAUCACAAGUUCGGCUCUGUCUGUAGGUACAGGUCAACAGACAUUUUGUUGUUUUCUUGCAGACAUGGCUUUGUCCAUAAGUCAAGGUCUCUGAGACCUGACAUUCAUAGACCUAGCAUUAAGUCAAGGUCUCUAACAUUCAGGGACCUAACAAAUAUGGUUACGUCUUUCUAGUUAUUUAAGUUGUGUCUCAUGCAUCUUUUAUAUCUUUAUACUUACCCUGUCUUUUCCUUCUUAAACUUAUGUCUAAGAAAGGGCCAAUCUUAUUAAUUAUUUAAUAGUUGUACCCUCUGGUUAAAUUGCAUGUGUGAACUGAAUAUCUUUGAGUCAAGUGUAAUACUUCUUUUCUCUAGAAUUAUUUUUUUCCUUAAUAUGUGUGUCUAGGUUCUGCUAAAAUUUAAAUAAAACAGUGAGAUCAGAAAGCUAAAAAGGCUAAGUUCUAGUGAGGUUUCAUUAAUACCAUAGGUAACCUGUGGUCUAAAAAAUUCCUGAUGGACGGCUGGUUGGCUCAGUGGUUGGAGCGAGGUGCUCAUAACCCCAGCGUCGCUGAUUCGAUUCCCACAUGGACCAGUGAGAAGCAACAGCUUGAGCUUGGAGCUGAGCCGCCAGUGGGUGGCCAGUUGGCUCAGUGGUUGGAGUGUGGUGCUCAUAACACCAAGGAUGCUGGUUCGAUACCCACAUCGGCCACUAUGAGCUAUGCCCUCUACAACUAGAUUGAAAGCAAUAACUUGACCCUGCAGCUGAGCUGUGCACCCCACAACUAGAUUGAAAAAACAAUGACUUGACAUGGAGCUGGUGGGUCCUGGAAAAAAACACUGUUCCCCAAUAUUCCCCAAUAAAAAUUAAAUAAAAAAAAAUUCCUGGUAUUCUGCACCUAGUUGUCUAUUGGGGAAGCUGCCCCUCAGCCAUGCAGCUGAGCUUACCUCAUCUGUACAACCAGAAGAGCAGGCAACAACCUUGAUCCUUUCCCAGGAAUGAUAAAGGAAGCUA